rnacentral:rRNA from 1 species
CCUACGGGUGGCUGCAGUGGGGAAUAUUGGACAAUGGACGAGAGUCUGAACCAGCCAAGUCGCGUGAAGGAUGACUGCCCUCUGGGUGGUAAGCUUCUUUUAUAUGGGAAUAAAAUGUUCCACGUGUGGGAUUUUGUAUGUACCAUAUGAACAAGGAUCGGCUAACUCCGUGCCAGCAGCCGCGGUAAUACGGAGGAUCCGAGCGUUAUCCGGAUUUAUUGGGUUUAACGGGAACGUAGGGGGUUUGUUAAGUCAGUUGUGAAAUCUUGGGGCUUAACCGUAAAAUUGCAUUUGAAACUGGCAGUCUUGAGUCCAGUAGAGGUGGGCGGAAUUCGAUGUGUAGCGGUGAAAUGCUUAGAGAUGUCGAAGAACUCCGAUGGCGAAGGCAGUUCACUGGACUGCAACUGACACUGAGGCGCGAAAGUGUGGGUAGCAAACAGGAUUAGAUACCCGAGUAGUC